GCGUGUUGGUUUCUCUCUUUGCAGGUGCAAGUGGCCGACGUGACAGUGGCAGGUGGAGCAGGUGGCGCGGCAGUGGCAGAGGGUAGGUGGUGCGACGCCAGAGAUUAGGAGGCUAGGGUUUCUUUUUCUAUUUAGGUUGUGGGCUUGUUGGGCCUUAGGGUUUUUUUUUUAUUUUGGGCCAUUGGGUCUUGUAAAUGGACUUGGUAAUUUGGACUUAUUUAUUUAUUUAUUGGUUUUAUUUAUUUGGUUUUGGGCCCGGGCAAAUUUGGCUUGUACAGCUGCCCCUCUUUGCUCGUUGUCGUGUAACGAGAACAGAGCAAAGACUAAGAAAGACCAAUUUUGCCCGGUCUCGCCGAUUCUUGUUGCUUCGAUGCACUCUACUGCCUCCU
rnacentral:lncRNA from 1 species